rnacentral:rRNA from 1 species
UGCGCAGGCGGACUUGUGCGUCAGAGGUUAAAUACAUCGGCUCAACCGAUGACAUGCCUUUGAUACGGCAAGCCUUGAGUGCGAGAGAGGAUGGUGGAAUUCCUGGUGUAGCGGUGAAAUGCGUAGAUAUCAGGAGGAACACCAGUGGCGAAGGCGGCCAUCUGGCUCGCAACUGACGCUCAGGCACGAAAGCGUGGGGAGCAAACAGGAUUAGAUACCCUGGUAGUCCACGCCUUAAACGAUGUAUGCUUGGUGUUGGGGGGUAACCCUCAGUGCCGGAGGUAACCCGUUAAGCAUACCACCUGGGGAGUACGAUCGCAAGGUUGAA